GUUUGGGCGGCAAAUUGAUUGUGACGUCAUACAUAAUAAACUCCAUUGCUUGGAAGUAGGGCAAAUGUGUUUGCAUUAAUCUUUUGAAGAAGAUGAAUGACAAAUUGAAGGAAAGACAUUGUUUGCAAGUGGACAUAGAGGUGACCCAGUGACACAUGAGGUCGUGACUCCAUCAUACCUUAAGAAUCCGUAACCAAGAACAAGACACAGGACGAUACCAAGGCUGAUGUGCAGAGUGAACUCUGCAAAAUCGAUCCCCUGAACAGAAACAUAUAAUAGUCAUUACCUUUGAACAUGGAGCAAGAAGGACUUAACAAUAGUAGGCGCGUACACAGGGGGUGCACAAGUGGGUCAUUUCUUAUUAAGAAAUCUUCAAAUACUAUGCUUUUCCCGUACGAUACCUAUGACUGCGCACCCCCUCAGCCAAUACUGCGAACGCGUCUGAACUGUGCAGUCUUAUGAUGUUUACAUCAAACGAUGUAAAACACAGUUACUUGAUAAGAUCCGUGGCAGUGGGUGGGGCACUGAGGGCAUGAGCCCCCCCAAAGGGCCACUUGGCUAAUAAAACAGAUCUUACCGCCUUUUUUAUUUGACUGUUGGAGACAAUGAUGGCGUUUGGUGGAUCACCAAUAGCUGAAACAUCAAGAGCAGCAGUCAUGUGCAGUCAAGCUUGCCAAUGCGAACACCCUCACAGCCGCAAUUUAGUAUCUUUAAAAGCGACACUCCGUCAUUUUAGUCAUCAUUUUGGAAUUCUGUUUCGCCUUGGAUUGUCUUUAAAUCCGUGAUAUUGUGUUGCGCAUUAGGUGAGUGUUGACUGAAAAUAUUUGUCAUACCUGAACCAGUUAAAUAAUGUGAUGCCUGUAAGGUGAUUGUGACUGUAUACAGUUGUAACAACGCCCCUUGAAGAUCACAAGCGUCGGAACCAUACCUGUAGCAGUUCCUCCGAUGUUGGAGAAGAUCACCUCAGCUAUCAGCACAUACGUGGGGUCCAAAUUUAAGACCUGACAUAAUCUGAGGAAUUCAAAUCAAAUUAUACAUUUCUUAUAGCAGUUUAUUUAUAGCUUGCCAUUUGAAGAACACA